rnacentral:rRNA from 1 species
AACGAACGCUGGCGGCAUGCCUAACACAUGCAAGUCGAACGAAGCCUUCGGGCUUAGUGGCGCACGGGUGCGUAACACGUGGGAAUCUGCCCUUUGGUUCGGAAUAACAGUUAGAAAUGACUGCUAAUACCGGAUAAUGACGUAAGUCCAAAGAUUUAUCGCUGAAGGAUGAGCCCGCGUAGGAUUAGGUAGUUGGUGGGGUAAUGGCCCACCAAGCCGACGAUCCUUAGCUGGUCUGAGAGGAUGAUCAGCCACACUGGGACUGAGACACGGCCCAGACUCCUACGGGAGGCAGCAGUGGGGAAUAUUGGACAAUGGGCGAAAGCCUGAUCCAGCAAUGCCGCGUGAGUGAUGAAGGCCUUAGGGUUGUAAAGCUCUUUUACCAGGGAUGAUAAUGACAGUACCUGGAGAAUAAGCUCCGGCUAACUCCGUG